GACGAACGCUGGCGGCGUGCUUAACACAUGCAAGUCGAACGGAAAGGCCCUGCUUUUGUGGGGUGCUCGAGUGGCGAACGGGUGAGUAACACGUGAGUAACCUGCCCUUGACUUUGGGAUAACUUCAGGAAACUGGGGCUAAUACCGGAUAGGAGCUCCUGCUGCAUGGUGGGGGUUGGAAAGUUUCGGCGGUUGGGGAUGGACUCGCGGCUUAUCAGCUUGUUGGUGGGGUAGUGGCUUACCAAGGCUUUGACGGGUAGCCGGCCUGAGAGGGUGACCGGCCACAUUGGGACUGAGAUACGGCCCAGACUCCUACGGGAGGCAGCAGUGGGGAAUAUUGCACAAUGGGCGGAAGCCUGAUGCAGCAACGCCGCGUGCGGGAUGACGGCCUUCGGGUUGUAAACCGCUUUCGCCUGUGACGAAGCGUGAGUGACGGUAAUGGGUAAAGAAGCACCGGCUAACUACGUGCCAGCAGCCGCGGUGAUACGUAGGGUGCGAGCGUUGUCCGGAUUUAUUGGGCGUAAAGGGCUCGUAGGUGGUUGAUCGCGUCGGAAGUGUAAUCUUGGGGCUUAACCCUGAGCGUGCUUUCGAUACGGGUUGACUUGAGGAAGGUAGGGGAGAAUGGAAUUCCUGGUGGAGCGGUGGAAUGCGCAGAUAUCAGGAGGAACACCAGUGGCGAAGGCGGUUCUCUGGGCCUUUCCUGACGCUGAGGAGCGAAAGCGUGGGGAGCGAACAGGCUUAGAUACCCUGGUAGUCCACGCUGUAAACGGUGGGUACUAGGUGUGGGGUCCAUUCCACGGGUUCCGUGCCGUAGCUAACGCUUUAAGUACCCCGCCUGGGGAGUACGGCCGCAAGGCUAAAACUCAAAGGAAUUGACGGGGCCCCGCACAAGCGGCGGAGCAUGCGGAUUAAUUCGAUGCAACGCGUAGAACCUUACCUGGGUUUGACAUGGAUCGGGAGUGCUCAGAGAUGGGUGUGCCUCUUUUGGGGUCGGUUCACAGGUGGUGCAUGCCUGUCGUCAGCUCGUGUCGUGAGAUGUUGGGUUAAGUCCCGCAACGAGCGCAACCCUUGUUCACUGUUGCCAGCACGUUAUGGUGGGGACUCAGUGGAGACCGCCGGGGUCAGCUCGGAGGAAGGUGGGGAUGACGUCAAGUCAUCAUGCCCCUUAUGUCCAGGGCUUCACGCAUGCUACAAUGGCUGGUACAGAGAGUGGCGAGCCUGUGAGGGUGAGCGAAUCUCGGAAAGCCGGUCUCAGUUCGGAUUGGGGUCUGCAACUCGACCUCAUGAAGUCGGAGUCGCUAGUAAUCGCAGAUCAGCAACGCUGCGGUGAAUACGUUCCCGGG
rnacentral:rRNA from 1 species